CCUACGGGUGGCAGCAGUGAGGAAUAUUGGUCAAUGGACGCAAGCCUGAACCAGCCAAGCAGCGUGCAGGAAGACGGCUCUAUGAGUUGUAAACUGCUUUUGUAAGGGGAUAAAUCGCGGUACGUGUAUCGGGUUGAAAGUAUCGUACGAAUAAGGAUCGGCUAACUCCGUGCCAGCAGCCGCGGUAAUACGGAGGAUUCAAGCGUUAUCCGGAUUUAUUGGGUUUAAAGGGUGCGUAGGCGGUUCGUUAAGUUAGAGGUGAAAGCCCGGGGCUCAACUCCGGAACUGCAUUUGAUACUGUCGGGCUAGAGUUUAGUUGCGGUAGGCGGAAUGUGUGGUGUAGCGGUGAAAUGCAUAGAGAUCAUACAGAACCCCGAUUGCGAAGGCAGCUUACCAAACUACCACUGACGUUGAGGCACGAAAGCGUGGGGAGCAAACAGGAUUAGAUACCCGAGUAGUC
rnacentral:rRNA from 1 species